GCCUCCUUCUGCAUAUUCGAUACAUUUAUCUGAAACCACGUUGUCCAGAUUAGAGUGUAAGCUCAUUAGACCAUCUACCUUAUUGCUGACUUUUAUAAAAGAAUUUCAUUAAGCUUCGUGCAACUCAAAGAGGAGCUGUCACACGCCAGGAUUUGUAUUAAUAUAAUUAAUUACUUAUUCUUAUAUUUAGCAAAUAUGUGCUUGAGAAGUUUGAAAAAUAAAAUUAAACGUCUAAAUUUACACCCUAGUAUUUACCAUUAACCCUGGAACGGAAAGCCUCCCUGUCAAUCAU